rnacentral:rRNA from 1 species
AUGCAGCAACGAGGCCCCGGAGAGACCGAGGAUUCACGCUCGGGCGGCCUCGAGAUCCAAAGCUUCCCCGCUUCCGCGGCUCAGAAAAUCAAGAAAAUCGGCUCAAGAACGGAUCGGGGACCCUCCGUUUCCCUCAUUUCCGCCUCCGUUGGAUCCCCAGCUCCUCCUUCCUUCCCCCCAAGAGCUCCAGAUUACGGAGCUCCCCCUCGCUCGCCUUCCUCCUCUAAGCUCUGGAUUUCUCCGCAGAGCUUCUCCCUCGGCUCCCUCUCUCGCUCUUCUCUCUAUCUCUCCGCUGCAGCUCCUGUGAAUCCUGUGUGUUUGGGCGUGGGUUUGUAUUAG